UGGCUCAGAUGGUAAAGAAUCUGCCUGCAAUGCAGGAGACCCAGGUUCAAUUCCUGG
rfam:TPA: Bos taurus chromosome 5, whole genome shotgun sequence.